rnacentral:piRNA from 1 species
UAGAUGUGCAGGAGCUUGGAGGAGGAGGU